CAAUAGCGUAUAUUUAAGUUGUUGCAGUUAAAAAGCUCGUAGUUGGAUUUCGGAUGGGACUUGCCGGUCCGUCGUUUCGAUGUGCACUGGCCAGUCCUAUCUUGUUGUCGGGGACUAGCUCCUGGGCUUCACUGUCCGGGACUAGGAGCUGACGAGGUUACUUUGAGUAAAUUAGAGUGUUCAAAGCAAGCCUACGCUCUGAAUACAUUAGUAUGGAAUAACACGAUAGGACUCUGGCUUAUCUUGUUGGUCUGUGAGACCAGAGUAAUGAUUAAGAGGGACAGUCGGGGGCAUUCGUAUUUCAUUGUCAGAGGUGAAAUUCUUGGAUUUAUGAAAGACGAACUUCUGCGAAAGCAUUUGUCAAGGAUGUUUUCAUUA
rnacentral:rRNA from 1 species